rnacentral:rRNA from 1 species
AGCAGUAGCCGCGGGAAAACGGAGGGGGCUAGCGUUGUUUGGAAUUACUGGGCGUAAAGCGUGCGCAGGCGGUUCGUUAAGACAGAUGUGAAAUCCCCGGGCUUAACCUGGGAACUGCAUUUGAAACUGGCAGGCUAGAGUCUUGUAGAGGGGGGUAGAAUUCCAGGUGUAGCGGUGAAAUGCGUAGAGAUGUGGAGGAACACCAGUGGCGAAGGCGACUCUAUGGUCUGUAACUGACGCUGAGGCACGAAAGCGUGGGGAGCAAACAGGAUUAGAUACCCCUGUAGUCCCUGUCUCUUAUAC